rnacentral:rRNA from 1 species
AACGAACGCUGGCGGCAUGCCUAACACAUGCAAGUCGAACGAGACCUUCGGGUCUAGUGGCGCACGGGUGCGUAACGCGUGGGAACCUGCCUUUAGGUUCGGAAUAACUCAGAGAAAUUUGAGCUAAUACCGGAUGAUGUCUUCGGACCAAAGAUUUAUCGCCUUUAGAUGGGCCCGCGUUGGAUUAGCUAGUUGGUGGGGUAAAGGCCUACCAAGGCGACGAUCCAUAGCUGGUCUGAGAGGAUGAUCAGCCACACUGGGACUGAGACACGGCCCAGACUCCUACGGGAAGCAGCAGUGGGGAAUAUUGGACAAUGGGCGAAAGCCUGAGCCAGCAAUGCCGCGUGAGUGAUGAAGGCCUUAAGGUUGUAAAGCUCUUUUACCCGAGAUGAUAAUGACAGUAUCGGGAGAAUAAGCUCCGGCUAACUCCGUG